rnacentral:rRNA from 1 species
UUUUUGCGGAGAGUUUGAUCCUGGCUCAGGAUAAACGCUGGCGGCGUGCCUAAUACAUGCAAGUCGAACGAGGAGUCUUUGUAGCAAUACGGGGACUUCCUAGUGGCGAAUGGGUG